rnacentral:tRNA from 1 species
AUUUAUAUAGUAUAAUAAAGUAUCCAUGACUUCCAAUUAUGGGGCCUAAUUUUAAUUAGUAUAAAUA